AUGCUCCCAAGUUCCUGGCGGCACCGCCACCUCCUCUUCUCUCCGGUCACUUGCUGCGGAAGCGGCCCGAGGCAGCCAUUCCGACAAGCCUCAGCCUCCACCCCGGCAGCUCAGCGCAGCUCGGCUCAGCCGCUCCCGGGGCCGCAUGACUGCGGCGGCCGCCGCCUUCCGCCUCUUCUCUGCGGGAAGCGCCAGUCCGCAGCGGCGGCGGCAGGGUCUGGGCCAGAAACCCUCGGGUGCGCAGCAGCCGGCGUCCUCCCCACGCCUCGCCCCAAAUCUAGGGCCGCCGGGCAGCCCCGACCCGCCCCAGCGCCUCUCGUCUGAGCAAACGCAACAGCCUCCAAUCAUCUCCUUCAUACUAUGGGAGACCUCGUCCUCCAGUGACACGGGCCGGUCGCUAGAGACCAUCUAAGAGGGAGUUGGGCGGACCAUUAAAAACACAUGCAAGCCAAUGAGUGCUUCCCCUGUACAGCCCACCGCGCCCCCGCUUCCUUCCCGCGCCCCGGCCCCGCCCGCCGCUCGGCCGCUCGCUCACUCGGGCUUUGCCGCUCAGUCACUCACGUUCCGCACAGGAGUCAGGAGCCAUGUCCUUGCUGACUCCCCACCUCCCUCCACCGCCUCCUCCGCCUCCUCCUCCUCGUCGUCUUCCUCCCCACCUCCACCCGGCCGCUAACGCUGGAGCCCGGAGAGGGCACACAUAAUCAAGCAGGCCUCCGCACAGGCGCACUGGGGGCUCCCGCUGGGCCAAGGGCAGCGAGGGAGGGAAGGGGUUGCGCUUCCUCCUCCGAGCGUCACUCAGCGUGCGCGCCCGCCCGGCGGCCGGCGUGAGAGAGCAGGCCCGGGAGAGGCGAGGCCUGCGUGCGCGCCGCCGCGCCCGACCGGCAGCCCAGGCCGCCCUCCCGGCCCUUCCCUCUCCCGCGCCUGCCUCAUCCGCCGAGGUGUGCUGCGCGGGGCGGGGUCGAGCGGAGCCGGCGGCGCGCCGAGGCCGGAACACGCCAACUGGAGGGCGC
rnacentral:lncRNA from 1 species